rnacentral:rRNA from 1 species
AGUGAACGCUGGCGGUAGGCUUAACACAUGCAAGUCGAACGGCAGCGCAGUAACAGCCUUCUCUUCCGGGUGGCGAGUGGCGGACGGGUCAGGAAUACAUCGGAACCUACUUUUUCGUAGGGGACAACGUAGGGAAACUUACGCCAAUACCGCAUACGACCUACGGGUGAAAGCUGGGGAUCUUCGGACCUUGCGCGAUGGCUGGAGCCGAUGUCGGAUUAGCUAGUUGGAGGGGUAAAGGCACACCAAGGCGACGAUCCGUAGCUGGUCUGAGAGGAUGAUCAGCCACACUGGGACUGAGACACGGUCCAGACUCCUACGGGAGGCAGCAGUGGGGAAUAUUGGACAAUGGGCGCAAGCCUGAUCCAGCCAUACCGCGUGAGUGAAGAAGGCCUUCGGGUUGUAAAGCCCUUUCGUUGGGAAAGAAAAGCAGGAGAUUAAUACCCCGGUGUUCUGACGGUACCCAAAGAAGAAGCACCGGCUAACUACGUG